GUGUGUUAUAUGUGUCACACAGGACUGGCUGGUAUUAAAGCCGGAGGGAAGGUGGGGGAGUGACGUCAAGUCAGCAUGGCCUUUAUAUCUUGGGCCACACACACGCUACAAUGGCCAGUACAAUGGGAUGCCAAGCCGCAAGGCGGAGCCAACCCUCAAAGCUGGUCUCAGUUCGGAUUGCAGGCUGCAACUCGCCUGCAUGAAGCCGGAGUUGCUAGUAACCGCAGGUCAGCUAUACUGCGGUGAAUACGUUCCCGGGCCUU
rnacentral:rRNA from 1 species